AGAAUCAACGCUGGCGGCGUGCCUAACACAUGCAAGUCGAACGAGAAAGGGGAGCAAUCCCUGAGUACAGUGGCGACCGGGUGAGUAACACGUGACUAACCUACCCUCGAGUGUGGAAUAACAUCGGGAAACCGAUGCUAAUACCGCAUAAUAUCGCAAGAUCAAAGGAGUAAUCCGCUUGAGGAGGGGUCGCGGCUGAUUAGCUAGUUGGCGGGGUAAUGGCCCACCAAGGCGAAGAUCGGUA
rnacentral:rRNA from 1 species